UUUUAACCUGUUAUGCCGACACUACAGGGAUCCUCUUCCUUUUAUUGCUAUGCUAUGCUUCUGCUCCAUGCGCAAGCACACUCUCUCUGGCCUCCUCUUGUGCUCUCUAAGUCUCUAAGAACACAGAGAAAGAAAAACUCACUAGACACUUUCACUCGUGAUUUAGGGCGAUUUAGAGUUGGAUUUUAAAUAUGUUGAAGUUGAAGAAAAGGUGGUCAAGAGCUUCAGGAGUAGGAUUUACCUAGCGAAGUGAACUACGAAGUUGAAGAUCAAGGUAAAAUAAUUCAUCUUAGUAGCAAACAAGGAGGAGAUGACGUGAUUGAAGAAUUUGUGUUUCGAUCUUCGCCGUCCUUUUUGAGGUUAUGGCUGAAGUGCCAGUGCUUUUGUAGGGGCCCCACGACGUCAGCCACCGUUAUCACCUAUUCUUGAACACAAAUAAUGAUGAUGACCCUCGGACUUUCAGACUUCGAACCGUAAAGAACACAUGGUCAAUACACGAUUCUUUCAUUCCACACCUUGAGGCUUAUGGACUACAUGGUUAUGCUAGGCUCACAUCAUCCGAAGACCAAUUACGUUCGGAUCCAUCCCUUUUGACAUCCCUCAUUGACCGGUGGAGACCUGAAACCCACACCUUUCACUUUCGUAUUGGGGAGCUUGCACCUGCACUGAAAGAUGUUUCUAUAAUCACUGCUCUACCAAUUAGAGGUGAGCAGUUAGUCUCUCCGUCAGUGACUCCAUCUUGGGCAUUAAAUAUCUCAGCCCGUCUUAGGAUGACAAUUCCAGAAUCACAAUGUUCUGGUGGCCCUCAGGGCGUCCCACUCGCCUGGCUUCGUGCAAACUUUCAUGGUUUAUCUAACCAGCUGAUUCUGAGACGAGGAAAAGGCAUAUGUUUGCAUAUUUGUUGUGGCUCCUCGGGACUAUGUUUCCAAAUUCACACGGGGACGUAGUUCUCCCUGGUCUCAUCUACUUUGUAGAGAAUAUGGUAGAUGAAUCUUUACCUCAGCAUCCAAAAUACAGCUUCGGCUCUGCCAUGCUAUGUCAUACAUAUAGAGGCUUGUGUGAUGCCACACAAAAAACUUCAUUCACAGAAAAAGCUCCGUUACUUUGUGUCGCCUACGAGUUUCUACAAUUGUGGUACUGGGAAUACCUCCCUGAUGACCCCGUAUACUAAAUCCCAUACACCCAUACAACUGUAGCGAGGGCAAUGUAACAAUGGCCAGCAGGUUGACAAAGGCACGGAAAAAAUGGUUUCCAAAUAUUGCAAAAUGUUGUUACCCUAUAUACCACCAACAUUUUGAGAUGCUUGAUGAGUCACUAGUCACAUGAAACCUGUAGACUCAGGAGCAGUUACAGAUGGUCUUCGAAAUACGACCCAUCACAGCAGGAUGCGUGAGCGAUAGUGCAUUCUGGCUAACUCGCUGCAACUUAUUGUUCAUGUGGUGUGUUGAGACUUACAACCCAGAGCGUGUCAUGAGAUAGUUCGGUCUCUAUCAGGAUAUUCCACCACCUUUUCCAAGACGUGUCGACGAGGAAACCCAUAAGCUGAGCAAUAUGGGCAAGGGUGGUUACGAUUGGAGGGCACACAACAUUGAAUCGGUACACAAGUGGGAAAAUGAAGUGUUAGAAGAUAUAGUGCAUCAACUUAGGUAAAUUCUAUUUAGAGUAUUUUCUAAUGAUGACCAUAUGGUCCGUCAAGAUGCUUUGCAUUUUGUGAUCUACAGAAUUAAAUAAUUAUAUCAACCUUUGAGAUGAAAACAAAGCAUCUUCACGCAUCGUAUGGUCAUCAUUAUAAAAUUAUGUAAAUAAAAUUUACC